UACGUAGGGGGCAAGCGUUAUCCGGAUUUACUGGGUGUAAAGGGAGCGUAGACGGCGUGCCAAGUCUGGUGUGAAAGGCCGGGGCUCAACCCCGGGACUGCAUUGGAAACUGGCAUGCUGGAGUGCCGGAGGGGCAAGCGGAAUUCCUAGUGUAGCGGUGAAAUGCGUAGAUAUCGCGCAGAACCCCGAUUGCGAAGGCAGCGUACCGGCUCCACACUGACGCUGAGGCACGAAAGCGUGGGUAUCGAACAGG
rnacentral:rRNA from 1 species